AUUGAACGCUGGCGGCAUGCUUUACACAUGCAAGUCGAACGGUAACAGGCCGCAAGGUGCUGACGAGUGGCGAACGGGUGAGUAAUGCAUCGGAACGUGCCCAGUCGUGGGGGAUAACGCAGCGAAAGCUGUGCUAAUACCGCAUACGAUCUAUGGAUGAAAGCGGGGGACCGUAAGGCCUCGCGCGAUUGGAGCGGCCGAUGUCAGAUUAGGUAGUUGGUGGGGUAAAGGCUCACCAAGCCAACGAUCUGUAGCUGGUCUGAGAGGACGACCAGCCACACUGGGACUGAGACACGGCCCAGACUCCUACGGGAGGCAGCAGUGGGGAAUUUUGGACAAUGGGCGCAAGCCUGAUCCAGCAAUGCCGCGUGCAGGAAGAAGGCCUUCGGGUUGUAAACUGCUUUUGUCAGGGAAGAAAUCCUCUGGGCUAAUACCCCGGGAGGAUGACGGUACCUGAAGAAUAAGCACCGGCUAACUACGCGCCAGCCGCCGCCGUAACAC
rnacentral:rRNA from 1 species